UACGAAGGGUGCAAACGUUGCUCGGAAUUAUUGGGCGUAAAGCGCACGUAGGCGGCUUGGCAAGUCGGAUGUGAAAUCCCUCGGCUCAACCAAGGAAGUGCAUCCGAAACUGCUGAGCUUGAGUACUUAAGAGGAUCGCGGAAUUCCCGGUGUAGAGGUGAAAUUCGUAGAUAUCGGGAGGAACACCAGUGGCGAAGGCGGCGAUCUGGGAAGAUACUGACGCUGAGGUGCGAAAGCGGUGGGAGCAAACAGG
rnacentral:rRNA from 1 species